UUUCUUCUCGAACCUCUUGGCGCCAUUAUUCCGAAGUCUUUCCUAGCCCAACAGUCCUCAUUGAUAAACACAACUUCUUAUAAUCUGUUUUCAAACUUUCCAAAUCUUCCUCAACUUUACCCUUCCUUUUCUAUAGCUUUUCUGCCUCUGACUUUUGAAUCUCCACUUCUAACUUCAAGUGCAUCUUUUCUUCUUCCAACUGCUCGAUUUU
rnacentral:lncRNA from 1 species